CCGGCGUCUACCUUCCGAGUUCCUGAGAAGGCCGCGAGUGGAGGAGCCUUGCGCGAGCCGGGUUCCCAUUUCGCUUCAGCGGGACCCUAUAAUCCCCCUUAACUCCAGCUGAGGCUGCGUGCUGGCUCCCAGGCUGAGCAGCGGAGGAGCUGCGCAGCACAGGCCGCCUUGGGCAAGCGGCCACUUUCGGAGUCAGAGUAAGAAGACCUGAAAAAAGGGAACAGUGGAGCAUGGUACUUAAUUCACAUGGAUUGGGAGUAGUGGAGAGAGAAGAAUAGUUGGUGCUGCAUGAGCCAAAAGGAACCACAUUUAUAAAUAUACUACACUACUUUGAGGAUGGGAUUUUCAAAAGAGCACGAUUACAAUUGAAAGUCAAUGGGUGAUGCUCCUCCAUCUUCUAAUUUUACUGCUCCAUUGACAAAGUUAGCUGCAAUUUUAAAGCAGGGAAAGUUAAAGUACAGGUAAAAUGCUAUGUGCCUUUGUAAAAUGCAAAACAAAAAGUUAGAAUGAAAACCUAAAAAUGUCAUACAACAAAUUCCAUGCUUAUGGUAGGUACAGCUCUGGGACCUCCUAGCAUUCUUCUCACUGGUUUAACAAACAAAUGUAAGCAGAGUAAAAACCCUGGAAGUUGCUAUACACUUGCCUGCAGUAGGGGCUCCCUUUUGCACUAAUACCAGUAAAUUUUCUUUAGUAAUGUUUUAACAAAGAUUAAAGGCAUAGGCCACAAUUCCAGAAAGCAUUUAAGCACAUGCUUAAGUCUGUCUCUUAGUAUGUUGUUGCUCAGAGCUAUAGCAUUUGCAAAAAUUGUGUCAGUAGAGCACUGGAACAAGAAAGAUAAUGUUUUGAAGGACUUCUAGAAUACUCACUUCCUAAUUCCCUCAUUCCCUUUGCCAAUGGAGGUUGGAACCCAAAGAUUUUUCUGUAUUAUAGUUAUGCGUGAACUGUCAAUAAUAACACAAUAGAAGUCUACGGUAACCUAAAAUAUUUGUCUCGCAGAAUAGUUCCCUCUAAUCUGCAGGCCUACAGAAGAAAUUUCUACCCCACCCACCUCCUAAGCAGAGCUGCACAGCGGUGUGGUGGGAGACAAGUGGCAGGUAGGCAGCUGCUCCGGCGGCUGGGCUCCGAGGAACUGCAUGGCAGACGGGUGGCUGCUCCAGCCACCUGGCACCAGAGGAACCAUGUGGUGGGUAGGCAAGCAGCUGCUGCAGCCAUCCAGAGGAAGCAUGUGGUAGGCGGGUUGCUGCCACCAGGGGUUGGGGCCACAGGUGGGCGGGUAGGGUCCCUGUCACUGGGGUUUGGGGCUGUGGGCAGGCAAUUUGCUACCACUGGGGGUUGGAGCCGUGGGUUGGAGGGUUGCUGCUGUUGUGGGUUGGGGUUGAAGGGAUUCUUCAUUCCUAUUAUUAAAAUAGAGAACUGAAAGGUACCAAAAAUUGAAAUUAUCAGAGUUGAGAACAGAUACUGGAUGUUAAGCCCUCUUGCUGUAUAUGCUGGAUGAAUGGAUCACUACCCAAGAAUCCAUGGCAUAAGCAAAUCUGAAGGUCAAGUCUACACUGGCAAGUUACUAUGUAGUAAACUUAGUAACUUUACAGUCCCCAACACUGUAACUUUGGCACGGUCCACACUGGGACCACCUCCAUGAGAAACACAGCGUUUGUUGUGCUCUGAAUAGUGUACUGGGGUGCCAGCAUGGGCACCUGACUGGCCUCUGGCAACCUACUUACAAUGCCUGAUCUGGAUUCUGUGGUCAUGUGUUUCAACUCCACUGCACUGCUCGGGUGACCAACCAGAUGACCAGGACCUGCCCUUGUGUUCUUUUUUAAAUCUGAAAGUUCCUCUCCUGUUUACUCGAUGACGUGUGGUGUGUUCUCAGCACAUAUCUUCAGAUGACCAUGCCUGCUUAAGAUUCUUGUCUUGGAGCCAGACUGAGGUGCUAGAUGUCAUCAGCAUUUGGGAAAAGGAGGCAGUCCAGUCCCAGCUGCACUCCAGCUGUAAGAAUUACAAUAUCUAUGGGCACAUCUCUAGGUGUAUGACUGAAAGGGGCCAUGACCAGGACUCACUGCAGUGUAGGGUCAAAGUGAAGGAACUGUGUGCAGGAAUAUUUGGAGGUGACCCCACCUCCACUCCGAAGACUCCCAUAGAUACCUCGGAGGCUUCCAGCAGUGGACUGAGACGGAAGAAGGAAGUUGUGGCAGAGUGUGCUGAGGGAGAGAAGGAUCCAGAGCCAGAAGAGGAGUUGGCAUUCUUGGGAGACUUGUUGUCAAGAGCAGUUUUGUACCACUGAGGAGGCGAGCUACUUGUUGCCCUCAGAGCGGCAGAUGAUGCUACUGGUAAGUGGUCAUUCAAGCAGCUUGCUGAGAGCGGGAGGGUUACAGAAAGGAGGCUGGGUUCGGUGUGAUGCUGCUACCAGAAGAGAGUCGGUGAUAUGGUGAACAGACUGUUGACACAAUCGUACAUCUUGGUAAUCUGCCUGAAAGACCUCAUCAAAAGCUUCAUGCAGCUGCUGUGCCACUCUUCUCCUCAGAUUAGCUGGCAGAGCAAACAUAUUUGACCUUGAAGGUUGAUGUUCCCUCACCACUGUACCGUCAACUGGGGAGGAGAGACUAUCGCUGCACAAAGACAAGCUGCAUACGGUCCCAGACAGAACCAAAACUUGAGUAAAAGACCCUCUUUUGCUUUUCUGCUCACCGUAAGCAACAAAAUGUCUUCCAGGGUUAACAUAGCCUGUGGAAAUGAAUGGCCAUUACUAAAACCUUCACUCCCUCCUCCCCCUGCAAUGUUCUCCCCAAUUCACACCUGCCCAGAACAUAUCACAACCAGAAGCAAAUGAAAACCCCUGCUCCCCAGUACCCUGUGCAGCUACAUCAAGAGAUUCUAUGACAAGGGGUUCCCCUGCCCUUUCCCCUUCCCAGCUGCAUGAAGGGAUACUUCCACCCAUGCCACCAUAGCAAGGGUUUUCCCUGGCUCUUUCCCAACUGCACAAAGGAUUUCCCUGAGUGCCCUUAGUGAUGAACUCACCACACCAUUGAGAGGUUCCUGAUGUUAUGUAUGUUUGCUCUGGGACAGGUAGUGUUAGGCAUGUGGACAGUGCAAGUAUUUCAAAGGGGUUGGGGGCAAUGCUGUGUCUAGUGUUAACAAUGGGUCUUCUGUGACAUGUUGCAAUUUUGUCCUUGAUAGGGCCAGCCUCAGGUCUCAGGAAGUUCUAACACCUGCAGAGGUCUGAGAUGGGCUUGGAAGCACCCAAGAGAGACUUGAGAGGUGUUUUUGCGAGACAUCCUGAGCCAUGCAGAUGCCAAACUAAAAAAAAAAAUAGCAGACAUGAAAGGACAAUGACAGGAGGUGUUGGAGGCAAAGGAGGAGCAAGGAAAGAGUUAAAAUGGAUGUUCUCUUUCUCACCUGUUAAUGUUAUUUGGUUCCCUAAAGUGUUAAAGUGUUAUCUGUUAACCCCCUAUCUCUUCACUGAGUGAGCACAGAAGAAUGUUUGAGGUGGACACAAGAGGUGGGAAAACUCUGAGGUAAAUAGCAGGAGUAAACAACAGUGCUCACGGCCCCAAGAGGCCCAGAGACUCAGAAGCUUCACGUGACUGAUCAUUAAAGGAGAGAGGGACGCAGACACAGGUUGUUGGUUGACCAUCAAGUGGAGCCUCCCAGAGAAUGCCCUUUGCUCUGAUCACCUAGCCAGCCAGCUCAGGAGUCAACAUGGGAAGAUCAUAUACUGCCUUCUGCUUGCCUUAUCAUCCUGCCUGGGACUGUAAGUGUGGUUGAGUGUAUGAGUGAAAUCCCUCCCCCUUCCCAGUCUGAACUUAAUAAACAAACCCUUUACGCUCCUAUGUGGUGAUCCCCUCUCCUUAGUAUUCAAAGCAGUUGCAAUCCACAUCCCCUUGCAACAAGAGGGCGUGGAAGGAGAGCACAGAAUGGCUCCUAAGCAUUAUGGAGUGGCAAGUGAACACACUGGAGGCACUGCUAACACUGCAGAUGGAGCAGAUAUGCAACUUGCCCACCCUGCAGCCUGUGUCCCAAAACUUUUCUAAUACCACCCCAAUGCAAUUUGGGCACCUCUUUGUCCCUGGAUGCCACACACCACACCUGCCCACUCGAUCAGGCUCCCAAAGGCUGCGAUGCUGUCAAUGCCAAUCCAUAUGCAGCUUACCCCUGAUGAAUUGCAGCCCUCUUUCCACAGCACAUCAGAUGGCAGGGCUGAGUAUGAGCCAUGAACAUAUACAAACCUAUGAUUCUUAGGGCAUGCCUCACUUCCUACCUCCCCCUGUAAUACCUCCGUCUCCCACAGUGCUGAUGUGUGUUUCAUGGUUCACAGGUGUCCUAUGUUUACCUUGUGUGUAAUAAAUCAAUGUGUUUCAAAGAAAUCUUUAUUCCAUUACAUGAAAGCAAGCAAACAAAUGUCUCCAGCAAAGCUAUGGUCACUGUGGGGCAAAGUCCAGUGCACGAACCAAUGACAAGUAACCCACUAGCAAUGAUGCCACUGCACUCCCAUGAAUAGCAACAAGUUUUACUGACUUUCAGCAUAAAAUUGCUGUCUCGAGGCAUCCCUGAUUCUUAUGAUCCUGCGCUGUGCUCCUCUACCAGACCUGGUCUUAGGCUGUUCAAACUCAGCCUCCAGGUGCUGUGCCUCAGCAGUUCAGCCCUUAGGAAAGCUUUCACCCUUCCUUUCACAAAUAUUACGAAGGAUACAGCACAAAGUAGUAACCACAGGGAUACCAUAAUUGGCGAAGUCCAGUUUCCCAUACAAACUUUGCUAGCAACCCUUCAAAUGGCCAACAGCACACACUCCAGAGUCAUUCUGCACCUGCUUAGCCUGUUACUGAACUGCCCCUUGCUGCUGACAAGGCUCCUCAUGUAUGGUUCCAUGAGCCACAGCAUUAAGGGGUAGGCAGAUUCUACACGGAUAACAAUGGGCAUUUCCACUUCACUUAAUGAGAUCUUCUGAUCCCCAUUUUCAGCUUCCCAAAAGAUUCAUGUACCAGGCACCUUUCCGGACCAGCCUGUGUUCAUGUCCAUGAAACGCCCACAGUGAGCCAAAAAUGCCUCUGAUGCCCCUUCUGGUCAAUGUACUCAGAGGCUAGGUGGUCAGGCCCACGAACUGGAAUAUGCAUGCCUUCUACAGUUUGAGAAGCCCAGCUGUGCAAAGUCAUCCACAAUUUCAUGCACAUUGCCCAGAGUUAUGGUCUUUUGGAGCAGGAUGCUAUUAAUGGCCCUGCACACUUCCAUCAGCACUAGUCCAACGGUCAACCUUCCCACUUGAAAAUGAUUAACAACUGAGCAAAAGCUGUUUGGAGUAGCCAGCUUUCAAAGUGCAAUUGUCAUGCACUUCUCCAUUGUAGGGCUGCUCUCAUUUGCGUAUCUUUGUGCUGCAAGGUGGGGGCAAGCUCAGCACACAAUCCCAUGAAAGUGGCUUUCUUCAUCCAAAAGCUCUGCAGCCACUGCUCAUCAUCUCAGGCGUGCACGAUGAUGUGAUCCUACCACUUAGUGCUUGUUUCCCCAAGCGCAAAAGCAACAUUCCACUGUGAUCAGCAUCUCUGUGAAUGCCACAAGCAAUCUUGUGUUGUAUGAAUGUUCUGGGAUUCCUCCUCAUCACUUUGAAACUUCAGGAAUAACUUGACUGCUAUUCACGAAGUGCUAGUGAAACCUAUCAGCAUUUUCAUCAACACCUGGGGAUCCAUUUCUGCAGAACGAGCAGGCAGAGCACACAGCACAGAAGCUGUUAAAAGAUGGCACAGAAGCCAAGAGGUUGCUAGGAUGCAAAGCAACGCACCAUAAAGCAUUGGGACAGGACCCAAGAUGCCCAUGCCUCCCCACAAACCUCUGUGGCAGAAGAGAUGCUCGAUGGGAUAGCUGCCCAGAAUGCACCACUCUGAAAGGCGCUGUAAGUGCCACAAGUGUUUUCAUGCUAACCCACUAGCAACACUGUAACUGAGUUUACUUCCUCUACUCUCAUUCUAACCUGUCCUCUUGUUUUUCCCCUUUCCAGCUUUGAUACAAUUCUCUUUAUAACUUUACAUCUCAAAAUAAGUGAGUAAAUCAUUCAAGAUAUAAAGUAAAAUUGUUUAUUCUAUGCAAUUUGAAAUUGUCAGUAUUUUACUUUCACUUUCUGUCCACCCCUUGCAAAGAAGGGGCAGAAUAUAAAACUGGUAAUGCACAGACCGACUUUCUUCCUAUCAUAAAGGUAAUACACAUUGUUUAGACGCUGCAUUUAUUACUAUAAAAUACUAGUAUAAUUCUGACAGUUAUUUUGUAUCGAUUUACAAAAAUGAACAAACUUCAAAAACAGAAAUAGAUUCUGAGAGAGGUGUAAUCGUUUUGGAGUCUAUACUAUUUUUUAUUCUAAGGUGCACUUGUUUUUAAAACAAAGAUCUCCAUAAAUAUACUUACAAUUAAAAACAUAUCAGAGCAGGUAGGCAUUUACAACAGAAAUGGUUUACAUAUUCCUCAAACAUUAUUUUAUGAAAUAUUACUUGAAAAAUUUGAAGUUAUAUAUCAGUUUUCUCGAUUCUACAUAAUGACACUAGAUCAGGGUGGGCAAUAAUUUUUGAUGUGGGGCCCCUCCAAGAAUUUCGAGAGUGGUCAAGGACUACAUGCUUACAUGAUAUUAAUGGAGAAGGUGUGGAGUCUGGGAUGAAGGUUGGGUACAGAAUGAAGUUUGCAGUAAGAGACUGGGAUGCAGGAGGGGACGUGAGAUCUGGGAGGGAGUUUGGAUGAAGGAGGCAGGUUGUGACCUCAGGCAGGGGCUAUGAGGGUAGGGCAGCAGGGAGUUGACACUUGGGAUAGAGAACUUGGGUGCAGGAAGCAGUGCAAGAAUUUGGGUUGUGACCUACAGCAGGAGGGUUUAGUGACCUGGGGCAG